UAAGGAAUAUUGGACAAUGGACGCAAGUCUGAUCCAGCCAUGCCGCGUGAAGGAUGAAUGCCCUCUGGGUUGUAAACUUCUUUUAUAGGGGAAGAAAGAUACUUUUUUUAAGGUAGUUGACGGUACCCUAUGAAUAAGCACCGGCUAACUCCGUGCCAGCAGCCGCGGUAAUACGGAGGGUGCAAGCUUUAUCCGGAUUUACUGGGUUUAAAGGGUGCGUAGGCGGGCAUGUAAGUCAGUGGUGAAAUACCGGAGCUUAACUUCGGAACUGCCAUUGAUACUAUAUGUCUUGAAUAUUGUGGAGGUAAGCGGAAUAUGUCAUGUAGCGGUGAAAUGCAUAGAUAUGACAUAGAACACCGAUUGCGGAGGCAGCUUGCUACGCAAAUAUUGACGCUGAGGCACGAAAGCGUGGGGAUCAAACA
rnacentral:rRNA from 1 species